UACGUAGGCAGCAAGCGUUGUUCGGAGUUACUGGGCGUAAAGGGUGUGUAGGCGGUUGGAUAAGUGUGGUGUGAAAUCUCCCGGCUCAACUGGGAGGGUGCGCUACAAACUGUCUGACUAGAGUGCGGGAUGGGAAAGUGGAAUUCCUGGUGUAGCGGUGAAAUGCGCAGAUAUCAGGAGGAACACCAGUGGCGAAGGCGGCUCACUGGCCCGGUACUGACGCUGAGGUGCGAAAGCGUGGGGAGCAAACAGG
rnacentral:rRNA from 1 species